rnacentral:tRNA from 1 species
UCGGGUGUAGCUCAGACGGUAGAGCAUCCGACUGUUAAUCGGGGGGUCGCGGGUUCGAGCCCUGCCAUCCGAGCCA